GAUAAACGCUGGCGGCGUGCAUGAGACAUGCAAGUCGAACGAAGGAUCGGGCUUGCUCGAUCCUUAGUGGCGGACGGCUGAGUAACGCGUAGGUGACCUACCCCGAAGUGGGGAAUAACUGCCCGAAAGGGUGGCUAAUACCGCAUGUGGUCGCACGUUCAUUCGUGCGAGUAAAGCCGCAAGGCGCUUCGGGAGGGGCCUGCGUCCGAUUAGCUCGUUGGUGGGGUAAUGGCUUACCAAGGCGACGAUCGGUAGGUGGUCUGAGAGGACGAUCACCCAGACUGGGACUGAGACACGGCCCAGACUCCUGCGGGAGGCAGCAGUCGGGAAUUUUGCUCAAUGGGGGAAACCCUGAAGCAGCAACGCCGCGUGAGGGAUGAAGGCCUUCGGGUUGUAAACCUCUUUUGUCAGGGACGAUGAUGACGGUACCUGGCGAAUAAGCCACGGCUAACUACGUG
rnacentral:rRNA from 1 species